AGUUAUAAUUAAAGAUUAAAUAAAAAGUUAAAGUUAAAAAUUAAAAGUUAAAAUUAAAAGUUAAAGUGAGAAUAUUGAAGAUUAAAAGUUAAACUUAAAAUUUACUAGCCAAAAAGUGAAAUGUGGAGCUUAUAAGUCACUGUGAAGAUGAUAGUAAAAAUAAAGUGAGAGAGGUAAAAGCAAAGGUACCUUGACAACAUGUAAGGAUUGAAGGCAGUGACCCCUUUCUACUCCAAAAUUUGCCAAAAUUUGUAAUCGGCUUCAAUUUGAAUGAUUCUUAGCUUGUUGUAAGGCUGACUUAAAGGCGCUUUUGAUCCAACAAUCUUUGUUGCAAUCUAAUAAUCCAGUCGUGAGAAUUCCUCCUUUGAAGUUAAGUGAUCCAAACUGCCACAAUGACCAACACUCUUCACUUAGAAAUUUACUUAAAAUUUAGAUUGUCUUCAAGUUCAACAAAACUUGUGCUUUUCACAGCUUAGCUUAUAAAUCUUGAUGCUUCCAAAAUUUCAAAUAAAUCCAAUCACCAUGCACUGAGAAAUGCCUUUCCAAACUUGAUUGAUUCAAACUACAAAGGCAGUCGACUCCCU
rnacentral:lncRNA from 1 species